AGUCUCAUUUUUACAUAGAUGAGCAGCAACUUUAGAAAUUCAUGCUCAAGUCUGUCACUUAUAUUUUAAUAUUGAAAUUAAUAGAAAAAAAAAAGAAAAAUAAAUGAAAAAGAUAAAAGACUCAUUUCAAAUUGUUUAUGACCAAAUCAACCAAAAAUUGAGAUUUUAAACCAAAGAUGCAAGUUAAAAACUUUUGAACUCCUUUGCAUAAAUAAAUAUUGUAAUAUUCAAGGGACCAUUUAUGUCAAUUGUUUGGAAUACAUAUGGAAGUUGGGGGGAAACAAACCGCAUUUUACAAAACUCACGAUCCGGAGACGUGUAGGUUAGAAAGGUUUUAAUUUUGGAAAAGGUUUUAUAAAAAUGACCGUUGGAAUUGGGAAGCCAAAAGGUUUGGGUCGGUGUAUUGGCGCAUAAAAUAUUACCUUCUUUAUUCUUCCUUCUUCACUUCACUCAUCCCGCUUCGUUCUCCUAACACCGUCGGAGACGACUCAUCGCGACCUCUGUAACUCAGCUCACCGGAGACACAAGCACUCCCACCCUUCGUAGGACACUCACAACCAUGCUUCAAAUUGCUAAUGUUGUAUGCAUCAGAUGUUGGACAAGUACCAAAUGUUGAGGAAACAAUGAGGAUUCAGACUCGUACUUAGAACCAUCCAUCACCUAUAGAAUUAGAAAUUAUACCCAUAUCUUCUCAACCUGAUUUUGUAUCAAACAUGGUUCCAAUUUUUCAAUAAAGAAUUUGUACGCAAUGUAUCCUUUGAUCAUCUAUUACAUGCCUGUUGGUUGUUUUGUUCAAAUGACAUUGAUCCUAUCAAUAAGUUUGUGAAACUUUUUAACAUGAAUCAGUUACCCCUGCUUCUGAUCAUGAACCAAAUGCAUGAGAAUUGAAUAUGUCUAAUGCUUCUCCUGGUCAGCAUCUUGGCUUUUUGCUUAGCAGAGAGGAUGCAGAUAACCGCCUUCAAUCCAUUGAUUACAAGUUGACAAAGCCUAGAAACAGUAUACAGGUGUACAGGUAGCUAUAGCUAUGAGUCUACGACCUUGUUUGUGAAAAUGAUUGCUUAUUUAAUUAAAAGAUCCUAAAUAUUGCAUGGAAAAUGCCUUCAACACUUAUUACGUACGCCUGAAAACUGAGACAUCAUGGAAGGGAAAUGCCACAUGGUGGUUGUCUUUGGUGGAUUGAAAUGUUAGAAACAAGUGGUGAAUAUAAAGAGGGUGAUGGUGUUUAAGGAACCUCUUCGUUCAGCUGUGAUGCUUGAACAAGGAUCUUAUUGCUGUUACCUUUUAGCCAAACCAAUUAUAUUAAGAAAGUAUGGAUUUCAUCUCAUUCUUUCUCAUGAUCUAUACAAGAAAUGCCAUCAGAUUUUGCACAACAUCCAGCUGAAGAAGUUGAUGAAUACAUACUCUGAUAGACACGAGGUAUGCAUCUGAAACCUUCUGAGAUUACAAGUAGAUGGAGUUAUUGGAGAAGAGUAUGUUGAGUAGUUGAUUAUUUUUUAAGGUCAACAACUUGAAAUUGUUGGAUGACAUGGCGGAAUUGAGUUCAACCUACUGUGUUACACAAAUAUAUAACAGAGCAUAUGAUGUGUUGGGUAUGAUAAAUUUAUGUAUUUUUCACUUAGUAAGGCUUAUUGAUGCUCAGUUACGUGUGUGUGUGUGUGUGGUUGAUUAUUCCAAGGUUAUGAAUGUAGUGAAGAGGCAAAAAGCAUUUUUUAAAGGUAAAAAUUUACAAAACUUUCUUCAGCAAGCCCAAGGGAGAGAGGGCGCCUUGUAGUUUUUGUUCCAUACUUUAAUUAAAGAAUAUAAUCUGUCCAAUAUUAUCUUUCAGGCAUCUCCUAUGCUAUGCUAUGGUAUGUGGGGGAGUUUAAUUAGUAUUUAACAAAAUAAAAGACAACUUACUUUUGUUUAUGGUUUCAGGUGCAUCACCCUCCCCUUGUCUCUUGAUGUCAUGGAUUUUCUUAAAGUAUAAGUAAUUUUUAGGGCUAAAUGCAAUAUAUAACAGCUUACUUUCAUUCAUUUGUGUUUUAUUUCAGCAUCCUAGUUUCAUUUCUUUCUAUUACAGUAUUCUACUUUCAACUUUUUCAUAUGAAGACAUUGUAUUUUGAAAAAUAUACCCAAUCAUAUAGGAUACUACUUUUAGCUAUUUUAUUAUUUGGACAUUUUACUUUUAUAGAUGUUUAUAGCAUUGUACUUUCAUCUUUCUUUUUAUUAGGGCAUUCUGCUUUGAAAAUUAUACCCAAUUAUAGCAUAUUCUUGUUGUGACAUUUUACUUUAAAUAAUCUAUCCAUUUAUAGCAUUGUACUUUUAUUUAUUUAUUUAUUUAUUUAUUUUUUGCUUUUAGGACAUUAUACUCCGACAAAUUUAAAUUUCUAUGUCUCGUCUUUAAAUGAAAGUAGGAUACUACAAUUCACAAAUCAAUGAAAGUACAUUGAUAUUUCUUUCAUUUAAACAUUUAUAAGAUUUUGUCAGGAGAGAAGUAAUUGAUGAAGAAGGAUGGAUUCAAUUGAUGUAGGGUUGUGGGCACCUGGAGGCCGCUUAAAGAUUAUUGAUAGAUGUUCAAUGCUUCUUCUGGUCAGCAUCUUGGCUUUUUUUUUUCUCAGCAAAGAGGAUGUGGGUGAGGUUCUUUCUGAAAAAAAAAAACAAUUUUAUAUAUCAGCAUAUUGUUUUUCUUUCCUACCUUUUCUAUUUUAAUCCUAAGAGCAACUUAGGGCGUCUGUGGUUCUUGGAUUCCAUAGAAAUCUGAAGGAAUUGGAAUGGAAGAUUCCUUAAGUUACACACUUGGUUGACAAAAUGGAUGGAAUUGGAUUCCAUUAAACUCCACCAAAAUCUGUAUUCAACAGAUUUAUCAUUCCCAGGGAAGAAUUGGAAUUCCUUUAUUUAUUUAUUCAUUAAAAAGACUAAAUUUGUCCUUACAACCAAAAUACUGUUUUCAAAUCUUGCACCUUCUUUAUUCUCACCCCUAAUUUAUCCUAAUAUACAACUCUGUAAAUGUAGAUAUUUAUAUUCAUUUAUUAUAUUUUAGCUAUUUAUUUUUCUUCAUAAGUCGUUUUUAAUAUCAUAUUACUUUUUCUUUUAAUGUUUAUGAAAUUAGUGUAUGCAUGUUUUGAUGUGUAUAUAAUUAGUGUUUAAUAAUUGUCUUAUAAGUAAAAUCUUUUCCAGUAAAUAGCAAUUCUAUUAUUUUAUAUAAAAAAAGUCACUAAAUGGUGUUUUGGUCAUUUAACAUAGUUUUCACUUCAAUUAUUUUGAUAGAUUUACAAACCAAACACAAAACAAUACAUAAAUGGAAUUGAAAUCCUUUCAACCAUACACAUGACAUAUUCCAAUUCCUUUGACAAAUUCCAUUCAUUUCAAAAUUAUUUUGCGAACUACAAGUUACCUUACAUUACACUGAGAUAAAUUGCUAUUCUUAAUUCCAAUUCAUUACUCUGAAACAAGAAAAGGCUUUAGAAACCAAUUACAAAACUUGGGGUUUAGAAAAGGAAAAGAAGAUGCCCCCGAGAAUCAAAGUGUUAACAUGAUUGUUUUUAUCCUUAACACUAUAAAACACUUGAUGCCUUUUUAUGUUCUUAUUUAGUUUUUCUGUUAAUGUUUAAAGCUACAGUAUUAGUUCCAUUGAAUCUCAAAUACCUUGCUUUAUCAAAUUACUGCCUUCAAUCCACUGAUUACAAUCUGACAAAGCAUGGAAAUGAUAUACAUGUACAGGAAAUGAUGCGCUUAUUUUUUAAAAGUUGCUAAAUAUUGCAUGGAAAAUGCCUUCAGACUUGUUUAGUAUGCCUGCAAAUUGAGACAUCAGGGAAGGGAAAUGCCACAUGGUGGUGGUCUUUGGUGGAUUGAAAUGUUAGAAACAAGUGGUGAAUAUAAAGAGGGUGCUGGUGUUUAAGGUAAUAAUCAAUUCUCUUUUAUGAAUAAAAGUAUAAAUAUGAGAAUUUUGUGAAAAACUUCUAUUUUUUGCGGGAACCUCUUCGUUCAGCUGUGAUGCUUGAACAAGCAUCUUAUUGCUGUUACCUUUUAGCCAAACCAAUUAUAUCAAGAAAGUAUGGAUUUCAUCUCAUUCUUUCUCAUGAUCUAUACAAGAAAUGCCAUCAGGGUAUUUCAAGAAGAGCAUAUUAGAAAACAGCAUAUGCCAAGUGCAAUUGUGUGGGUCAAUGCUUUAUGUAUGGUCAAAUCUUGGAUUCAAUGCGAGAGUAUGUAGUCCGCUUUCUAAAAACUCUGGAUGAAAUUACAAACCAAACACAAAACAAAACAUGAAUGGAAUUGAAAUCCUUUCCAUUUUCUUUCAACCAUACACAUGACAAAUUCCAAUUCCAUUGAUAAAUUUCAUUCAUUUCAAAAAUAUUUUGAGAACCGCAAAUUAAUUCCCUUCCAUUACUAUGAGAUUAAUUCCUAUCCUUAAAGCCAAUUCCUUUUACAAAUUCCAUUCAUUACUAUGCAACAAGAAAAGGUUUCAGAAACCAAAUACAGAACUUGUGGUUUAGAAAAGAAAAAGAAGACACCCCCAAGAAUCUAAGUGUUAACAUGAUUGUUUUUACCCUUAACACAAUAAAACACUUCAAGUUUUUAUGUUCUUAUUUAGUUUUUCUUUCAAUGCUUAAAGGUACACUUUUUGGUCCAUUGAAUCUCAAAUACCUUGCUUUAUCAAAUUGCUGCCUCCAAUCCACUGAUUACAAGCUGACAAAGCAUGGAAAUGAUUUACAGGUGUACAGCAAAUUGAGACAUUAGGGAAGGGAAAUGCCACAUGGUGGUGGUCUUUGGUGGGUUGAAAUGUUGAAAAUAAGUGGUGAAUAUAAAGAGGGUGCUGGUAUUUAAAGGAACCUCUUCGUUCAGCUCUGAUGCUUGAACAAACAUCUUAUUUCUAUUACCCUUUAGCCAAACCAAUUAUAUUAAGAAAGUAUGGAUUUUAUCUCAUUCUUUCUGAUGGUCUAUACAAUAAAUGCGAUCAGUUAGUGGUAGAACAAGCGUACAAUGUCAUUCUUCCAGAGAAAUUGAAGACAGGAAAUUGGUAUGCAUCUGAAACCUUCCGAGAUUACAAGUAGAUGGAGGAGAGUAUGUUAAGUAGUUUAUUAUUUUUUAAGGCGGAUUGUGUACAAAACAAGUAUUCAAUAACACUAUCUGCAUUUUUUUAAAGAUUCAAAUGGAUGACUUAUCCAAGGCAUGUCACUUGUAUGCUAAUUUAUCUCUGUUGGUUUUGUACCUUUUCAAAGAAAAUUAAGUUCAUGACAAAAACUACUCUUUCUUUUUGACUGACUUACUAUAUUUUCAUCCAUACAGGUCAACAACUUGAAAUUGUUGGAUGACAUCGCAGAACUGAGUUCAACCUAUUGAGUUACACGAUUAUAUGAUGGUGUUAUGAAUGCAGUGAAGAGGCAAAAAGCAUUAUUUAAAUUAAAGAAGUAAAGCUUGUGGAUGUCCUUGAGAUGAGUUAUACAUCCGAUUAUCAACAUUCACCAGACCCUUGUGGGCUGCUACAAAGAUGAAGUGCAAAUAUCAUCAGAAGACACAAAUGUAUUUCCUGUGAAUAACUUUCAAAAGAACUUUGUCUUCAUUGGAGCUUCCAAGAUCUCUCUCUUGCGAAUGGAACACCUUCAUUUUCAGAAGAUACUUGAUACAGUUGCUACUUAAGAAGACAAUCAUUUAGGCAGCAGGCAGCAAAACAACAGACAGAGGCCUUGUAGAUGGUCAAAGUCAAGGUCAAGGUCAAGGUCAAAAUGAAGGAGGAGAAAUAUUUGGGCUUCCAAAGACCACCAGCCUCUUGAAUUCCCC